UACGUAGGGAGCAAGCGUUGUCCGGAAUCAUUGGGCGUAAAGCGCGCGUAGGUGGCUUCGUAAGUCCGUUGUGAAAGUCAAAGGCUCAACCUUUGAAAGCCGAUGGAUACUGCGGAGCUAGAGUACGGAAGAGGCGAGUGGAAUUCCUGGUGGUAGCGGUGGAAUGCGCAGAUAUCAGGAGGAACACCAAUAGCGAAGGCAGCACUCUGGUACGUGACUGACGCUGAGACGCGAAAGCGUGGGGAGCAAACAGG
rnacentral:rRNA from 1 species